rnacentral:rRNA from 1 species
AGAUUAAACUGAAGAGUUUGAUCCUGGCUCAGAUUGAACGCUGGCGGCAUGCCUUACACAUGCAAGUCGAACGGCAGCACGGAGCUUGCUCUGGUGGCGAGUGGCGAACGGGUGAGUAAUAUAUCGGAACGUACCCAAGAGUGGGGGAUAACGUAGCGAAAGUUACGCUAAUACCGCAUACGAUCUAAGGAUGAAAGUGGGGGACCGCAAGGCCUCAUGCUCCUGGAGCGGCCGAUAUCUGAUUAGCUAGUUGGUGAGGUAAAGGCUCACCAAGGCAUCGAUCAGUAGCUGGUCUGAGAGGACGACCAGCCACACUGGAACUGAGACACGGUCCAGACUCCUACGGGAGGCAGCAGUGGGGAAUUUUGGACAAUGGGGGCAACCCUGAUCCAGCAAUGCCGCGUGAGUGAAGAAGGCCUUCGGGUUGUAAAGCUCUUUUGUCAGGGAAGAAACGGUG